rnacentral:misc_RNA from 1 species
UAGGAGGCUGAGUUUGACCUAAAAGCCCACUCGCUCUCUGCGCCCUUGCCGUAUGAAAGCCUUGCACUCCCCCAAAGCAUCCCAUAAUCUAGCACGCUCGACGCACGCAGAACAGGGACCCUUCCUCCUGUGGCCCCACUAUUUCUCUGCAUUCUAGGAUCUAAGAGUGCAUGUAGAACUUUGUUGAUUGAUUUGUUGGAGGAUUCUUUUAUGUCUAUAAGUUCAACAUGUUUUGCUAAGAAGAAAAUACAAAUACAGACAGUUAUAUACUCGUUGGCGGACACUUUAGUUUGCAUUUACAUAUGAGAUGGGUUCUCGAGGAAGGCCACUAUUUGAUCUUAAUGAACCCCCUGCUGAGGAUGAUGAGGAGACUGAUCGCAUCAUCUGCUUGCAGCCGCAGAAGGCACUUCCCACUGUAAAUCCAAACCCUUCUGACUCGUUUGCAGCAUCAAUAGUUCCCCAAGGAAUAAAAAUUUGCAAUGCUUUCUCACAUGCAUCUUCUGUGUCGGGUUUUCAGCCUUUUGUUAGGCCCAAAGUUGCCCAAGGCCCUGAAGCAGGUUCUGAACAGAAAAAAAGUGGGGAUCAGAAUCCCAAGUUUGCAUCAUCAGUAAAAUCAAGUAACGGUGAUGACGCAAAAGCAUCAUCAUCAUUAGUUUCGGGUUCUGCAGAUCCUGAAGCUGUGGAAAGAGAAGAAGGAGAGUGGUCUGACAUAGAAGGCUCUGCUGAUGCAUCUGCUGGCAAUAGCCUCCAUGAGUUGGGCAAAGCUUCACAAGAUCAAGGCAAGUCUGAGUUGAUGCACUGUAAUGCUUCUGGUAUGCGUACUGAGAACAUUUCUGGCAGUACCGAGGUUACUGAUAAUAACAGGUUUGAAAUCAGUGGCCGGGCUUCUCAGGUACUGGAUCAGGUUAUGAAUGAUCAGAAAAGUAACAACAGUCAAAAUUCACAUAGCAAUUCUAACGGUGAUGCAUCCGUGGAUGGUCAGGAAGAAACUGCAUUAGUUCCAAAAGCAAGAGAGGUUAAAGGUGUUGAAGCAAGUCAUGCGCUCAAGUGGGCCAAUAAUAUGGGGAAGAGAAAGAUAGACCAACAUAAAGAAGCAAUGUUAGGAAAGAAGCGAAAUAGACAGACCAUGUUAAUUAAUAUAGAUGAAGUCAAGCAAGCAGGCCCUAUCAAAUCUUCAACACCAAGAAGGCCGCCAACUACCGUUCGUACUGUGAAGGAAGUUCGCACUGUCCCUCCCCCUGUUGAACAUGUUGGGGAAAGGCAUAUGCAUCCGAUGAUUAAGGAUCAGAAACAAGUUGACCUAUCAUCUAAUGAAGGGGGCACUUCAUCUGAAUCCUGCCAGCCCAAAAAUGAAUGUAAUGGUGAUACAAGUUCUGGACAACAAGGGAAGCCUAGGAGGUUGAACAGCGAUACUGAUUUUUCUGGAGAAGGACACCCACCACCCCUUCCAAGACAGAGUUCAUGGAAGCAGCCUGCUGAUUUGAGGCAGCCAAAGAACUCACAAUUUCAUAAUAGGAAGCCAGCUCUGAUGAGCCAAAGCUCCAUAGAUUCAAAGUUGGGAAACAGGAAACAACCCCCUGCCAAGAAGCCAGCUCUAGUCAGCACACCAUAUCAAGACACUUCAGUGGAACGUCUCAUACGGGAGGUGACUAAUGAGAAGUUUUGGCAUCACCCAGGUAUUAAAUUUAAGAUGUGCACAUCUCUGCUCGUGUUUUUGUUACAGUGACUGUUACAUAUCCUUGUUUUGGUCUUGUGGACCUAUUUCUUGGAGCAAAGGAGGUUUUAAAAGCUAAGAACAUGGUAACCUCAUAAUAGAAUGGUAGAGAACAAAGUAGAGAUAUUACCGGCAGUAGAUAUUGUCGGCCAAUUAAUUGAAAACUUGGGACAGUUAAGUUUCACCUUAGACCAUUGGUUUCCUUAGCUAACCAUGUGCGUUAAUGCCUCUUAACCAAUUUUUUCAUCCCCUAUUAGGAGAGCAAUUGUGGGUCAGUUGCAAUUUCUUUUGCUCUUCCAUCAAUGAGUAAAAGCUGAUGUUUGUAUUGCUCAGGCCCAUGCAUAGCAGAGGAGAUUCCCACAGCUAAAUGUGGUGGGCGGCAUUCAACCGUCCGGAGAGCCUCUUGGAUGCAAGAUGAAAUAAACUUGUGAUUUUUAAGUUAUUGCUAUUCAAAUUUUCCAUCGCUUUCUCUAAUUUUGUGGCAUGGUUUACUUCUGAUUCUAGAUUUUUGUUUUGCUACAUGCAUAAAGCCUCAUGUUUUCAUUCGGUUGCAUAAACUUAAAAAAGUUUCGUAGAGGUUUGCUAGCCAAUUUGGAUGUCUUAGGAUGUGAUCAUAGUGUGUACCUUUAGUUUUUGCUAAUAUUGUGCUAGUUGUUUGAGGUAUUAUCAUUAUAUACAUCUAUGAUUGUGUUUUAUUUUGUUGCAAUUUGUUGUUUCUUGCGACUGUUUCACACCCACUGUUGUCUUAAUGGUUAUUGCUUCUCUCUUUGCUUGGGAGCUCUUUUCUUGUUCUAGUUUCCUCUUUCAUUGUUUGGCAUUAGUAACUUUAAAUUGACUGAUAUAUUAGUGUUGAUAUGCAUCAGAGGACUCUGAGCUUCAAUGUGUUCCUGGACGGUUUGAAUCUGUUGAGGAAUAUGUCAGGGUGUUUGAGCCUUUGCUUUUUGAAGAAUGCCGGGCACAACUUUAUAGCACAUGGGAAGAGUUGACUGAAACAAAUGCACAUGUAAUGGUUCGUGUAAAGAGCAUUGAAAGACGAGAAAGAGGAUGGUAUGAUGUUAUAGUCCUUCCUGUGAGUGAGUGCAAAUGGACAUUCAAGGAGGGUGAUGUUGCAGUUCUUUCAACCCCUAGCCUUAGGCCUGGAACAGGUUUGUUAUAAGAGUUGCAUAUAUGUCAUUAUGAUUCAUUCCAAGGAUUUAACUUCUUUUGACUUUGUAGUUCACAAUUAUUAAUUCUUAUCAUGUCAAGCAGUCAGAUCCAAGAGGAGUAACACCUCAUCAAAUGAAGAUGAUGAUGAGCCUGAGAUCAGCGGACGUGUGGCUGGUACUGUUAGACGACAUAUCCCUUUGGAUACUCGUGAUCCUCCUGGUGCAAUCCUUCAUUUUUUUGUUGGGGACUCAUAUGACCCUUACAGUAAGGCUGAUGAAGGUCAUAUUCUGAGGAAACUCCAGCCCAGAGGCACCUGGUAUCUAGCUGUGCUUGGUUCUCUUGCUACCACUCAGAGAGAGUAUGUCGCCUUGCAUGCAUUUUGCCGUCUCAAUCCACAGAUGCAAACUGCAAUCUUGAAGCCCAGUCCUGAACACUUCCCAAAAUACGAGCAACAGACCCCUGCCAUGCCUGAAUGCUUCACACAGAAUUUUGUUGAUCAUUUGCAUCAGACCUUCAAUGGACCUCAGCUGGCAGCAAUACAAUGGGCUGCAAUGCAUACAGCUGCUGGUACAAGUAGUGGUAUGACAAAGAGGCAAGAUCCAUGGCCCUUUACUCUUGUUCAAGGGCCUCCGGGAACAGGUAAGACACACACAGUCUGGGGAAUGCUAAAUGUCAUCCAUUUGGUCCAAUAUCAGCAUUACUACACUUCUUUGCUUAAGAAACUAGCACCCCAGAGCUACAAGCAAUCCAAUGAGAGCAAUUCUAACAACAUUACAAUAGGUUCAAUUGACGAAGUUCUUCAUAACAUGGACCAGAAUCUCUUCCACUCUCUUUCAAAGCUCUGUCCAAAGCCCAGAAUGUUAGUUUGUGCUCCUUCUAAUGCUGCAACAGAUGAACUUCUCUCUCGUGUUCUUGAUCGUGGUUUUAUUGAUGGUGAGAUGAAAGUUUAUCGACCUGAUGUGGCUAGAGUUGGGGUUGAUUCACAAUCACGUGCUGCCCAGGCAGUUUCAGUUGAGAGGAGAACUGAACAAUUAUUAGUCAAGAAUCGUGAAGAAGUCUCAAAAUGGAUGCAAGAUUUAAGAGGUCAGGAAGCAUAUUUCUCUGGGCAAAUAGCUGAUCUUCAAAACAAACUUACCAUGGCAGCUGCUGAUGGUCGUUCCCAAGGAUCUGUUGGUGUUGAUCCUGAUGUUCUUAUGGCUCGCGAUCAAAACCGAGAUGCUUUGCUGCAGAACCUUGCAGCAGCUGUUGAAAACAGAGAUAAAGUUCUAGUUGAGAUAUCUCGCCUUCUUAUUUUAGAGGCCAGGUUCCGUGGUGGUAGCAACUUCAAUCUGGAGGAAGCCCGCUCAAGUCUGGAGGCAAGUUUUGCCAAUGAGGCUGAAAUUGUUUUUACCACUGUCUCAAGCAGUGGUCGCAAGUUGUUCUCUCGACUUACACAUGGUUUUGAUAUGGUAGUUAUUGAUGAGGCUGCCCAAGCCAGUGAAGUAGCUGUUCUUCCUCCCCUAGCUCUUGGUGCUGCUCGUUGUGUUCUUGUAGGGGAUCCCCAGCAGCUUCCUGCAACAGUUAUCAGCAAGGCAGCUGGGACCUUGAUGUAUAGUAGAAGCCUUUUUGAAAGGUUUCAACAAGCAGGAUGUCCAACGAUGUUAUUAUCUGUGCAGUAUAGGAUGCAUCCUCAAAUUCGAGAUUUUCCUUCACGGCACUUCUACCAAGGCCGUCUUACUGACAGUGAAAGUGUUGUUAACUUAUCUGAUGAGAUGUAUUACAAGGACCCUUUACUUAGACCUUACCUAUUCUAUGAUGUUACUUAUGGGCGGGAGUCCCACAGAGGUGGAUCUGUAUCUUAUCAGAACAUACAUGAAGCACAGUUUUGUCUUCAGCUGUAUGAGCAUCUUCAGAAAACUCUGAAAUCCUUUGGUCUGGGGAGAAUCUCUGUUGGCAUAAUCACGCCAUACAAGCUGCAACUGAAAUGCCUUCAAUAUGAAUUUUCAGCAAUUUUAAAGUCAGAAGAAGGGAAAGAUAUCUAUAUCAAUACUGUAGAUGCUUUCCAAGGCCAGGAACGAGAUGUGAUUAUUAUGUCUUGUGUACGUGCCUCAAAUCAUGGUGUUGGCUUUGUUGCUGAUAUCCGCCGGAUGAAUGUUGCUCUCACACGUGCGAGAAGGGCAUUAUGGGUUAUGGGAAAUGCAAAUUCUCUGGUGCAAUCUGAUGAUUGGGCUGCAUUGAUUGAUGAUGCUAAAGCAAGAAGCUGUUAUAUGGACAUGGACUCUCUCCCCAAAGAUUUUUUCGUUCCAAAGGGAAUGCAGGGGAAAACCAACAAUACAAGGGGUUCGAGGUUAGGUGGACCAAGACACAGAUCUAUGGAUAUCCACAUGGAGUCCAGAUCAGGAACGCCAUCAGAAGAUGAUGAUAGUUCAGGUGCACCUGUGAUUUCUAGGAAUGGGAGUUAUAGGCCCUUUAAGCCACUAAUGGACAAUUCAUUAGAUGAUUUUGAUCAAUCAGGUGAUAAAUCAAGGGAUGCAUGGCAAUAUGGCAUACAGAAGAAACAAAGUUCUUCUGGGGUUAAGAGAGACUCCUAGGUGUCUUGAUAAAUGCCUGCAAAUUCUUUUGGCAUUUGGGAUGGCGUUCAAUGCUAUUGAAUCUCUACAGUUGUGAUGCUGUCUCUUAGUGCCAGGAAGUCCUCGGUACCUGGGCUUCUUAUGCUCUGAUUGCAUCUGCUAAACACAAUUUGAAACAAGGGCCUAACUCUAACUUCUUACGCUGAUCGCAUUUGCUAAACAGAACAUAAAACAAGCUGGAAGUGCUGCAUUUAUAUUGGAUGCUUGGAGUGGAUGAACAGUGCUUUUGCAAUAGAUCGGUUCUGAUUGGAUUGGUUCCUGUGAUUUCUUGCUGAGAGAUGGGUACUUUUGAGUUAGUUGUGGGCGCCUUCAUCCACCUUCUCACUGGUGUGUCAGUAAGAAAUUAUUCUGUUGCACGCAAUUAACAUGUCUAAUUUGAACUUUUGUCUGUUGAUCACUGGACGGUGGGUAUACGAAUACCAGGAAUCAGUUGGUGGCAUCAAGAAACAUUUAUUAUUUAGAAGCUGAGGUGCCACCAUAUGGCGAUGGAGCUUACCCCACCAUAUUGACAUUUUUUCUGAUGUCUUUAGUUGAUGUGGGGUGUGAGGAGGCUUUCCAGUUAUACAUUGUGUUGUAGCUUUAUUCUUAAAGGAAGGAAGCUAACUCCUUGGUUCUCAAUUCUUGGAGAGUGUGAGCACUUUAAUAUUGAUGUAGGCACAUUCUUUGGAUGCAUGUAGGAUACUGGACUGUUAACCAAAUAUUCUUUUCUUCCAGUUGUUUUUUUGAAGGGGAAGUAAGAGUACAUGCCUGCAACACAUGGGAAACUCUUAAAUUUAUGUAUAGAAAACGGAAGGAGAGUACAGGAUUUGUACAACAAUACUCAAAUGCUAGAGGCAUUUGUUGACUUUUACUGACUUGUACAUAAGUCUUCAAAUAUGAUUUAUUUUUGGCAUAAUGAGAAGUAAUUCCUUUUUGCCCCUCGUGUUUUAGCUGUGUCUUGACGAUAUAAUAUUUGC